rnacentral:rRNA from 1 species
UCUUGAUUUAAGAUACUGCCUGCCCUAUGAUAAAUGGCCGCGGUACUUUGACCGUGCUAAGGUAGCAUAAUCAGUUGACUUUUAAAUGAAGUCUAGUAUGAAGGGCUGGGGAUUAGCUGUCUCUUGCUUAUUUAUUCGAAAUUACUCAGGAGGUGAAAAAGCCUCCAUCUCUUUAAAAGACGAGAAGACCCCAGGAGUUUAUAUUUUGCUGGGGCGGCACAGGAUUCCUUGGUUAUUUCAACAUACUAAACGAAUAAUUAAAAUCGAUUAAACUACCCUGGGGAUAACAGCAUAAUUUAAGAUUGUGACCUCGAUGUUGGACUAGGAAAGGUUCAGACCAGAAGUCUGGAUUUUAAGUUCUGUUCGAACUAUCUUCUC